rnacentral:lncRNA from 1 species
UAGGUGAGUUGCAGGGUAGAGGCUGGAGGUGUAAAGGGUCCACAGUAGAUGCAGAUAUUCCCUGCAUGGCUGGUGUAGCCUACAUUGCCACCAGCUUCUGGGAGAGGGAGUAGAGGGUUUUGUGUACUCCUCCAUGGCAGUUGCGGAAGGGGGUUAAGGUCACCUUCAUUGCCACCACCCCCCUUGCCAAAAUAGUGUGUAUAUCGUCACUAUUUGAGACCAAAAUGUCUCCAUCCUCUUGAGGAGAUGUAUUAUGGGCAGCUAACAGGAAGAAGGGAGCUGAACUGGUGUCAUUUGGCUUCCUUUGGGAUCCAGUGAUUGUGACCCACAGCAGUUCAUUGGUGGUGGUUUUUCCAUUUGUAGAUAUGACCUCUCUGGGUUUGGAGGUGGAGUGAGACUAUCUGAUUCACAAGAUGCUGAGAUAGAACACAUCCUACUUUGAAGAAGCCAAAUCCAGGUUUAUGCUGACCUGGCACUGCUUCACCCAGCAUUCCAGAUGCAAAUGCAGAGAAUGGAGAGCCUGCGAGCAACCGGAUGACUGUAGUUUGGAAAUAAAUAGCUCUGGAGCCCGGAUGCUCCUAAAGGAAGCCCGUAUCCGCUCAACUUGGUGGAUGCUGAAGUGCUGGGAGUCGUGAACUGGUGGCUGAAACAGCAACUUGGUCUCCCAACCUUGAUGCCUUAAGAAGGUUCACAGAAAAUGGCCGUCAGCAUUCUUACAGAGUCACUAAGAAGACAAAAUUGGAGCAUCAAAGCCAUCCAGGAAGUGAAAAUGCUCCAGCCUGGGUCAUACACAAAAAGCAGGAGAAAACUUUAACAUGCAUCCUGGCUGAAUCAGUGUCUAAAAGCAGCAUUUGAAAAUAUGAAACAAAAACUUUAAAUCAUAAGUUGCAAAGCUCAGAACAAAAAUACCCCCCAACAUCCUUAUAUACUCAAGAAAAACAUGCAAUAAGAAUUGAAUAAACUCUGGAAAGCAAUAGAAGGAAAAAAUAAAUAAAAUAAAUAAAAAUAAAUGCUAUCUUAGUACCCAUAAGACCCCAAAUAUUAUUGGAUAUGAGGAACGUGAGAGAGAUUAACAGAAUGGAGAUAAAGCAAAGGUGGGAACAAAAGUCAUAUGGAGACCACGUGUUAGACAUCAGACCCAGAAGUGUCUAAAGCAGAAAACACACAAUGAGAAAUAACACGUACCUAAAACUACAGGCUACAGUGAAUGUCUAUCAGGAAAUGAGGAUCUGAAGCUCCGUCUUUAAGGAUUCACAGUACACUUGCAAAA